GAUCCUGGCUCAGAAUCAACGCUGGCGGCGUGCCUCAGACAUGCAAGUCGAACGAUUAAAGCCCUCUUCGGAGGGUGUAUAGAGUGGCGCACGGGUGAGUAACACGUAAGUAAUCUACCCUCGAGUGGGGAAUAACAACCGGAAACGGUUGCUAAUACCGCAUAAUGCAGCGGCACCGCAAGGUGACAGUUGUUAAAGAUUUAUUGCUUGAGGAGGAGCUUGCGGCAGAUUAGCUAGUUGGUAAGGUAAUGGCUUACCAAGGCAACGAUCUGUAGCCGGUCUAAGAGGACGGUCGGUCACACUGACACUGAAUAACGGGUCAGACUCCUACGGGAGGCAGCAGUCGGGAAUUUUGGGCAAUGGGCGAAAGCCUGACCCAGCAACGCCGCGUGAAGGAUGAAGUAUUUCGGUAUGUAAACUUCGUAAGAAUAGGAAGAAUAAAUGACGGUACUAUUUGUAAGGUCCGGCUAACUACGUGCCAGCAGCCGCGGUAAUACGUAGGGACCAAGCGUUGUUCGGAUUUACUGGGCGUAAAGGGCGCGUAGGCGGCAUGACAAGUCACUUGUGAAAUCUCCGGGCUUAACUCGGAACGGCCAAGUGAUACUGUCGCGCUAGAGUGCAGAAGGGGCAAUCGGAAUUCUUGGUGUAGCGGUGAAAUGCGUAGAUAUCAAGAGGAACACCUGAGGUGAA
rnacentral:rRNA from 1 species